GACGAGCCACACGAACGUUAUUCGGAAUUACUGGGCUUAAAGGGUGCGUAGGCGGGCGCGGAAAGUUGGGUGUGAAAUCCCUCGGCUCAACCGAGGAACUGCGCCCAAAACUACCGUGCUCGAGGAAGAUAGAGGUGAGCGGAACUUACGGUGGAGCGGUGAAAUGCGUUGAUAUCGUAAGGAACACCCGUGGCGAAAGCGGCUCACUGGGUCUUCUCUGACGCUGAUGCACGAAAGCUAGGGGAGCAAACGGG
rnacentral:rRNA from 1 species